GAAAAAUAAUUGUCUCGGUAUGGACGUCGUCAUCUUGACUAUCACGUGAUUACCCCUUCUGGUAUAUGCGAUCGCAGAAAUGUCCGUGACGAUAAAAUAUCCGUGACUUGUAACAUAUAUAACGUUUCAGGCAUGUUGGGAGAUUGGGAUUUAUACUUCCAUUGUGUUUAUUUCAUUGCAAUGGUUUAUAAAGAAUGCUAGCACUUAUGUGUGUGCCUAAAUUAUAUUAUGUUAAUAUUGUAAAUCUGCAAAGGAACAGUUUGUGUGGUCUAAAUGCUCAGUUAACACUAUUUUUCACAAGUAAUAUAUGUCACACUUAAGAAAUAUUUUGUAUAGAUAAUGCCAUUAUCAUCCAUUUCUGCAUGUUUAGCGCGAAAGCUCUGUAUCGGCUAUUGUUUAAUGUUUGCUUCACACAAUACAUUUUUCAAUGUUUAUUAAAUUUCCGUUACUCUAUAGUGUCGUUUAAAUUUAUUGAAGUGCACUUAUAUAGGAAACAGAACGAAUAAACAUAUGUAAUUAGUGGUUCACCUCAGUCAUAAAUAUGAUUAUUUUGUAAUUAACAUUAUAUCGAAAUCAACACAACACGUUUUAUACAAAAUACAAAACUUGUGUUCAGUACAUAUUUAAAAAAAUGAGACAACACAAUUUUUCUUUCUUCAUUUGAUCAUUGAAAUUUUCGUGAGAUAAAAAAGAAACACUUCACUGACGGUCUCUACAAACAGAUAGGCAUCUUCAGAAUGAGGUACUUUUAUUGUAAAAUCCUCUGUACAUUAUACAGUCGUUUAUAUUCUGCAUAUUUGACAAUAAAACAAAGUAACAGACAUUUAGAGUAGGCUCUGUUGAAUAAUAUACACGGGCACAAACAAACCAUCAUAUAUAAAAAAGUAUAAUAGAUAUGCAUGUAAAACUUCGCAUGUACGUGUGUGAUGGAUAUGGCUCCUCAAUAAACAUAUCAAAAACGCAUGCGUAAAUAUUUUAAAAAAAUCAAUUGUACACCCCUGGUGUUCCUAUUUAUUGAAAAACCGUGAUAAACAAAUUGUGCAGCAAACAAAGAUUGGUAUAUACCAAGGAGCUAUAUAAUAAUCUAUUAUGUAUGUCCUUGGCAUUUCCUCCUUAAAACACUAAACAAUCAACUAGAACCUACAAUGUAAAAAUUUAGAACAGCCAACUGCUGCUACCUUCUCAAUUAUAAUUUUCACUGGCAUCAGCAAUGAUUUCUCCAUGUUGCAUACUGUACUUAGAUUUCACAAGGGCCAGGCAGCAUUUUUGUUUUAUUUUCCUUUGUGAGCAUUUAAAGUCAAAGUAAUUUCAAAUUACCAUAAUUGAGGAAUAAAUGCAAGGUAGGUCAGCGAUAAUUAUGUCACCCACCAAAACAUAUUAUUUAAUACCAUUGAUAUAACACUUUGAUAAUUUUACACUUGUAAGUAUAUAUUUUUUAAGUACCAAAAUACUAGGAUUAAAUUAAUUUGUAUAUUCCUAACUACUGUUUAAACGUCAUUUUAGUUAGCGACUGUCACGUCACCCACCGUACUCAAGGUAGCGACUAUCACGUCACCCACCGUACUCAAGAAGAGAAUAGAUAUCACGGUACCUGAACCACGUGACUUUUUCGGCUAUGUGUGGGACAAUCGGAUGUAAACAAAACGUCGCUUCAGACUUGAAAAGGAUUAGUCGAAAGAUCUGUAACGCUUUUAAGGUUCGAAGCUGUGUAAGAACUACAUGAACACCAUCAAACCACACGGAAGGUGAUAUGUGGCAAGUUAAAAAUCAAAACCACGGUGACAGAGACAGGGACCCCGCUUCAUUCUGUGAUGUUUAUGGAAAGCUAUUUCAACUAACUACGCAAACAUACCAUUUAACAUGUAUUUUUGCAUAAGCAAAACAAAGUGUGUGUAUUGAUAUGUGUGUAUAUUUAUCGGUUUUGUAUCUAUGUUAUUACUAAAAUUGAUUAGAUGAAUAUAAAAUCUGAUAAUGUGUGUUAAUAAAACAGGUGUUUCAUAACAAAUAAUUUAAAUCCAAUGAUGCGUGUUUGUGGUCUAUUCCAAUAUCAUCUCCAUUUGAACAUCUUCGAAUCCAAUAAUGCUUGUUUGUGGUCUAUUCCAAUAUAAUCUCCAUGAAUAUCUUCAGUAUAUCAAAAUAAACACGUCAUUAAUAAUACCAUUACUUUAUAACUAGCAUGCACAUGUAACAAUAGAAAUUAAAGCGCCAAAUACAUAAAGAAGUACAUUAGUAUUCACAAAGAAAUUGUAAUCAGUCAAUUUAUGAAUUUGCAAAUCUUGCUAUUCAAACAUAUGAAUGCUUCAAUUAAGUCAUAACAAAUGAUCAUCGCCAAAACGUCUUGACUUGUGGGGGUCAUUAUGCCAACAAACAUAUUGAAUUGCAUCAAUACUUAAUUUACUCAAAUUCAAAUGAAAGCUGAAUAACUGACAAUAGUUUGAGAUGUUUAAUGAAAAUACCCAUUCGCCCCGGUCAUGAAAGGGCGCUGCAAGAUCUUGUUACCACUGCACCAAGUAAUUAACAUUAAAUCAUAUAAUGUUGUUCAAUUUGUUGAAAUGUCAAAUUUUUAUGUAAUGUUUACUUUGAUUGUUUUCUUUCCCUGCAAUACUUGCACCAUCUGGUAAUAAAUCAAACAGUCAUUUAAACUUUGGAACAUUUACUAUACAUGUUUGUAUAUGACAACUUUUCAUUGAUCAAGAUAUCAGUACGUCUCUUGAA